UACGUAGGGACCAAGCGUUGUUCGGAUUUACUGGGCGUAAAGGGCGCGUAGGCGGCGCGGUAAGUCACUUGUGAAAUCUCUGAGCUUAACUCAGAACGGCCAAGUGAUACUGCAGUGCUAGAGUGUGGAAGGGGCAAUCGGAAUUCUUGGUGUAGCGGUGAAAUGCGCAGAUAUCAGGAGGAACACCCGUGGCGAAAGCGGCUCUCUGGGACGGUACUGACGCUGAGACGCGAAAGCGUGGGGAGCAAACAGG
rnacentral:rRNA from 1 species